UUUCAUAGAAGACUUAAACGUGGAGCCCUUUGGUACUUGAACUAGGAUCCAUCAUUCAGAACUUUUCCUUCUGGCUUUCCUAGUUUCUGGAACACAAGAUCUUCACAUUUACUGCGGACAUAAACUAUCUAUCUACCCACACGGUUUUUACAUCUCUUGUAAUUUAGUAACAUGUGUCUCUGUGCAUAUAGGACACGUAGGAUCAUACUUCUCUGUUUUACUUGCCACUGUCUCUGGUGACCUUCCUUCAGAAUUUAGUUGAUUGAUAUUGUUGCUGAAAACAUCUGGUGAAUCAACUAAAUUCGUUACCUACUACAUCUGAAGAAUUUAGUUGAUUGAAAUUGUUAAUUCAAAUUUGGUUCUUCGUUUUUUGAAUUUUUGAGAAUUUUAUAUGAAAUUUUUGACAGGAAAUUGAAGAGAGAGAGAAAGUGGUGAGGCAGAUGUGGGAUAUGUACGGUCGCUCCGGUGAUGUCUCGGUUCUGGCGAGAAGCUGCUUUUGGAGGCGGCGUAUGAGUUUCUCAUCAGUGAAUCCGCCCUGUUCGCUACGGUGCCGUUUCUGAUAUCGCCAAGUUGUCUCUUUUUCGCUUUGUUAAGUCAGCGUCUACUCCGGCCCGGCCCAAUCGUCGGUGAGUUGUGAAGAAUUGAAGAUGAAUGAAAAAAGCCCAAAAUGUUUUUUAGUGUAUAUAGAUUAACCAUCUAGAACAUACUACAGUUAACCGCCUUUAUUUAUAAAACCAUCUUUUAUAUUUGUGAUUCAUGAUCUGCACCGUCGAUUGCGUUAUACUAAAACAAUUAACAACCGUAGGAUCUAUUCGAAAUCCUAUUCCGGCUCGGUUUUGGUUUUUGCUCUCCCUCUCCUCUAUAUAUAUUAUAUGAAAAAAUGUGAUCGAUGAAUGUUCAUAGCUUCUGUAUCCUUUUUUUUUUUUUGGUUUGCAUAACGAUGAUUCUUAUUCCCUUCUCUGAUUAGAUUUCUAGUCUUUUUAUCAUCUAUUUAGGGUUUUGCUCGAUUUAUUAACAUCUGUUCAUCAAUUCUCGUUGAUCUCUAAUGGUUAACCCUAGUUGUUGAUCUUUUGCGUCGAUUUGCGAUUGAUCGAUCCAACAUCGAGAGAUUUGCAUGGGACAAACAUAUCCUGAUCAGUUCCCGUUGAUCCAAUCAUCAACGCUCAUCGAUGCUUAUCAUCGACCCUCAUUGAUACUUAUCAACGACCCUCGUUGAUCCUAACCAACAACCCUUGUUGAUAUAUAUAACCAAGGCUCGUUGAUCCAAUCAUCAUUCAUCAACCGUCGUGGAUAUAUCUAAUCAACGCUCUGUGUAUAUCUUCCAAUGAAAGAAGGAAGGAUCUAUCUUGUAGAUGUCUCUGUUAUCUUCAUGUUUGGCUUGUCUUGUUCUGAUGAUCCGGGAGUAUCGCUGAUCCUUAGUGCUUAUUCGGGAUGGAUUAUUGAGUUUUCAGGCCUGUCCAUCGAGGUAUUACGUAUUCAUAUAGAGGCGUAUGGACAAAAACACAUAUGAUCAACUCUCGAUGGUCUUAUGAUCAACUCUCGUUGGUCUUUUUAUCAUCUCUCGAUGGUCUUAUGAUCAACUCUCGAUGGUCUUAUGAUCAACUCUCGUUGGUCUUUUUAUCAUCUCUCGAUGGUCUUAUGAUCAACUCUCGUUAGUCUCUUUAUCAUCUCUUGAUGAUCUUCCAAUCAACGUCUCUCGUUGGUUAUGAUCAGCUCUCGUUGGUCUUAUGAUCAUCUCUCGAUGGUCUUAUGAUCAUCUCUCGAUGGUCUUACGAUCAACUCUCGUUGGUCUCUUUAUCAUCUCUCGAUGGUCUUAUGAUCAACUCUCGUUGGUCUCUUUAUCAUCUCUCGAUGAUCUUCCAAUCAACUCUCAUUGGUUAUGAUCAUCUCUCGAUGGUCUAAUGAUCAACUAUCGUUGGUCUCUUUAUCAUCUCUCGAUGAUCUUCCAAUCAACGUCUCUCGUUGGUCUUCCAAUCAACAUCUCUCGAUGGUCUUUUUAUCAUCUCUCAAUGAUCUUCCAGUCAACUCUCUCGAUGGUCUCUUUAUCAUCUCUCGAUGAUCUUCCGGUCAACUCUCUCGUUGGUCUUAUGAUCAGCUCUCGUUGGUCUUAUGAUCAGCUCUCGUUGGUCUUAUGAUCAACUCUCGAUGGUCUUAUGAUCAACUCUUGUUGGUCUUAUGAUCAUCUCUCGUUGGUCUUAUGAUCAUCUCUCGAUGGUCUUAUGAUCAACUCUCGUUGGUUAUGAUCAGCUCUCGUUGGUCUUAUAAUCAACUCUCGAUGAUCUUCUAAUCAACGUCUCUCGUUGGUAUUUCAAUCAAUGUCUCUCGUUGGUCUUAUGAACAUCUCUCGAUGGUCUUAUGAUCAACUCUCGGUGAUCUUCCAAUCAACGUCUCUCGUUGGUCUUAUGAUCAGCUCUCGUUGGUCUUUCAAUCGUCUCUCGAUGAUCUUCCAAUCAACGUCUCUCGUUGGUCUUUUUAUCAGCUCUCGUUGGUCUUUCAAUCAAGUCUCGUUAGUCUUAUGAUCAGCUCUCGUUGGUCUUAUGAUCAGCUCUCGUUGGUCUUCCAAUCAACGUCUCUCGUUGGUCUUUCAAUCAUCUCUUGAUGAUCCUCCAAUCAACGUCUCUCGUUGGUCUUUUUAUCAUCUCUUGAUAAUGCUUCAAUCAACUCUCGUUGAUCUGAUCAUAUCAUCUCUCGAUGAUCUUUCCAUCAACUCUCAUUGAUCGGAUCAUAUAUAUCAUCUCUCUCGAUGAUCUGAUUAUCAACUCUCGUUGAUUCUAAUCAACCCUCGUUGACAAAGAAAGGAUUAGAUUUAACACAGCUUGCAGAGGUUUAUGUUUGAUCUUUCAAACUGACCAGAAACAGAUGUACAAGAGAGACUAAGGAGGUCUGACCUUUGCCAUGACAGGUGCACUUGCUUGGCAGGUCGAAAACCCUUCAUUAAAAAGAUAACAGUUUUUGGUUUCGUGGAGGGAUGAGAGAUGGUACUAGAUUGGGAAAGUUCUGUUCUCGGCUCGGCUCUCCUCCUUCCCUCUGGACUGUGUGUCUUGUUACUCUCUGAUACUUGCUGUUUCAUCUGCAUAUUGAUAAACCUGAAGAGUUGUAAAGAGACCAUCUGAAAUGAGCAAGCCCCUGUCCGUUAUAUAAUACUUUGGCUUACAAACGAGAAAGUAGCAAAGGGAAUCCAUCGGCUCAAAUGUGAAAGAUCAAUCUGCAAGAACGAGUAGGAAUGUUUUUAAGGUUGGCUACGGAUCCUUUUUUGUUCUAGAUAAACUGUAUUCCUUUGCUUUUCUGAAUUCUCUUUAUCAACUGAAGAACAAGAAAACUGUGUAGACUUGUUGUUGGCCUAGAUUUUGGAAAAUAAUGAUUCCUGUAUUGAAAAAACCAUGGAGAGCUUAUGAACAACAGAGGAAUCUUACGGGAAGGAUUGCAUAAGUAGGAUAUGUAUUGGCAAGAGUUAGUUCGGACUUUUUUUUGUUGCAAAGUUUGUGAAAGUGGAAGAUAUUUAAUUUUUCUUUUUAUCUUGUAUUCUUGUGGAUGAUGAGUAGUGAGUUUGGCACUCUAUAAAAUCAAUAUGUACAACAAGUAUUUCAU